AGAGAGAGAGAGAGAGAGAGAGAGAGAGAGAGAGAGGCCUGGGAGAGAAAAGAACCAAGAGACCGUCUGGAUGCUACGGGCGUGACGUCAUCGCGAGGAGUGGCACGCACAGAGAGGGGGAGGCCUCCGUCGUCCUUAUACAGCGCGUUACCAAAUAAUGCGGAUGGAUUGUAAAGUCUAUGUGGGCAAUCUUGGCAACAAUGCCGCGAAACACGAACUGGAGUCUGCCUUCACAAAGUACGGCCCUCUGGUGAACGUCUGGGUGGCUCGCAAUCCCCCCGGGUUUGCCUUCGUGGAGUUUGAGGACCCCAGAGAUGCAGAGGAUGCAGUGAGGGCGCUCGAUGGAACGAGACUGUGUGGUGUGAGGGUUAGAGUUGAGAUGUCCACAGGCCGCUCCCGUAGAGACCGCUACCGCUCCCCACCACGCAGAGGAGGGAGCCGCAGAUCCAGGACUAUCUCGCCCAAAUUACUUCUUGUUCCACCACCACCACCACCACCAUCUACUCCUCCUACUGUUGCUACCACACCACCACCACCAACUCCACCACAACCACCACCACCACCACCACCACAAGUACUUCCACCACCAUCACCACCACCACUCCUAGCAUCAGCAUCAGCCUCUUUGUCCAGUGGACUGCCAAUAUUGGGUUGUUGGGGUAGAUGGAGGUCCCUCUGGGCACUCUGUCCACUCCCAACCUGAUCCCACACUGGUACAGCCUUGAUAUCCUGAGUCCGACGCCUGCACACAGUCCAGUUGGCGUGCCCCGCGAGGGAGCACUCUGGCUGGACUGUUGGGCGCUAACGUAACCAGUGCUGGGCCUCCUGAUGCUCUGAGGCUUGGCGGAGGUGGUGGUGAGCGGCACGUUGCCUGAUGGCCCUCCUACGGCGCGGCACCUCGUGGCACCCGGGCAGCCCUUAUGCGCUUCACGUGUCCUCUUCUCCCCGCCCGUCUACGUCUACCCUCCGCCCACUGCCCGCCCAUCGCCCGCCCGCAGCCUGCGCACCAUCAGGCCUGCCCCCCCACCCACCAUCUUGGGUCCUUGACCCUCCAACGCUCGCUCCACUUUCUUACAUUCAUCGCGCCUCGUCUCACCAUAACGCCUACCCUGCUGUGACGGUCCCGGAGCCCUAGGAGGUUUGGGCGGUCCCGCUCUCGGUCACCAAGACGCUCCCGGUCCCGCUCCCCCAGGUCUGUUUCAAGGUCCCCAAGGUAUGACGACUACCGCAGGCGAAGUGACUCUCCAGAUUUCAGAAGACGAUCCCGUUCUAGAUCAUAAGGGGUGAGUGUGUACGAUGAUAGAGUGACUGGCAGUAUCCGGGAACAGUGAGGACUGGAGCAUGUGGCUCCUCUUGGCAGGAAUAUUUUCCACCAUUUGUAUUAAGAUCUUGAUGAUGAUUCGCUUUGAAUUGUAGGUCAUAGAUUUUUUGUUGAAAAUUUGCACUAAAUUUUAAAAAAUCUCACUACUUCCUUGGUCAUUACUUUCCUAACACUCACUUUGUAAUUUAUGUAUUUUAUUCAGAAAUCUUGAAAUUUAUGUAGCCUAUGAAUUGAAUAUAGACUAGUAAUUGUUUUAAGAUUACUAAGAUUCCUGUUUAGUUGUAGGUUCCUCACUUUUAUAUGGUAUGAGAAUGAAUGUUAUGUGCACCAUACCUUUCUGAUAUAUUUCCUUGAGGACUAAACAUAGAGCACUAAAGUUAUUGUGGCAGUACAAAUGAAGAUGAAAGGUAUGGAAUGUUUAUUGUCAUUAAGAAGUUUCACAAAU